CAGCCGCCGCGGUAAAACGGAGGGUGCAAGCGUUAAUCGGAAUUACUGGGCGUAAAGCGCACGCAGGCGGUCUGACAAGUCGGAUGUGAAAUCCCUGAGCUUAACUUAGGAAUUGCAUUCGAUACUGGGAAGCUAGAGUAUGGGAGAGGAUGGUAGAAUUCCAGGUGUAGCGGUGAAAUGCGUAGAGAUCUGGAGGAAUACCGAUGGCGAAGGCAGCCAUCUGGCCUAAUACUGACGCUGAGGUACGAAAGCAUGGGGAGCAAACAGGAUUAGAUACCCGCGUAGUCCCUGUCUCUUAUAC
rnacentral:rRNA from 1 species